CUCCGAUGACCAUUUUGUGGCCCCUCUCCGGUGGGGGGAAACAUGGUCGUCGUUUGCUAGGGUCCCAACGUCGGCGGGAGGCUGCAGGGACUUCUCAGUGGGCGGAGGAACCGGAGGAGGGGGCAGCUCUGUGGCCAAUUUCAUUCUGAAAAGUGAAAUCUGGCAGAGAACCGCGAAAAAAAUGUGAGUAAACACUAACUGGGGCAAAUUGAAGAUAAUGCGUCAUACCUGCUUGGCUGUGUGGCUCCCGUCUGAGCGUUCCAUCCUUGGGCGAUUUCUUCUUGCUUCUGCAUCUGUGCGUCAUGGGGCUCAAAUCGCCGACUGACGAGAGUGCAAAUAUCAGCCUCCAGGAUCAUAGAGUGGAGAAAAAAAAAAAUGCAGCGGCCUAAUUGCAACUGACCUUUGUAGAGGCCGUCGCCCCUCAAGGUUUCCGCCCAGCGGGUGGCGCUGUGGGGCGUCUCGCCAUUUUUUGUGAACAGAUCCGGGUUGGACUGGGAGAAGUGGGAGUGCUGACGGGCCAGCAGGUCCACGUGCUGCGGUCGGGUGUUGUCGGCGGAGUUCAACGCAUCCCGCUGAGGGGAGGACGUGGCCGAGUGGAGGGCGGAGGAAGCUUCGUCCAUCAGAAAUCCUGACCGAGGGUCCCCCGAUGACUCGGCAGUGCAGACGGGCCGUGGCACCCAGGGACAGCGUGUGAUUGGCUGGGCCUUGGCGAAUGAUUGGCGGGAUCUGGAUUGAAGGGCCUUACUCAGCACGCUACCCGCCACACUGAUGGCUUGGCAGAUGUAGAAGCCAGAGUCCUCCGGGUGGACGUCGGUAAUGGUCAGCUCGCCUUUCAUGGACACGGAGUAACGGCCUGACUGGGAUGGCGGUUGGCCAGGGAACAGCAACAUCUGGAAACACAGCAACAUGACAGCAUGCGGACACCAACGGUUCGGGGUGACCGCGCGGGGGGACGCACUCCAAGACGGCGGGCUCGCCGGCAGCCACCACCACGUCGCUCGGCGCUUGACGGAAAUCAUCUCGGAGUACUGCGGAGGAAAAAACCCCACCAGAACUAAUUACAUGGGUGAGAAGCAGGCGGCCAUAUUGCUGGCAAAACAUUUGUUGGAAUUGUUUAGUCUUGAUUUGCGUGACUUUCUCCUGUAGCGUUUUUCU